GAUGAAGAACGUAGCGAAAUGCGAUAAGUAAUGUGAAUUGCAGAAUUCAGUGAAUCAUCGAAUCUUUGAACGCACAUUGCGCCCGCCAGUAUUCUGGCGGGCAUGCCUGUUCGAGCGUCAUUUCAACCAUCAAGCCCCAGGCUUGUGUUGGGGACCUGCGGCUGCCGCAGGCCCUGAAAACCAGUGGCGGGCUCGCUGUCACACCGGGCGUAGUAGAUUUUAUCUCGCUCAGGGCGUGCUGCGGGUUCCGGCCGUUAAAAAGCCUUUUUUACCCAAGGUUGACCUCGGAUCAGGUAGGAAUACCCGCUGAACUUAAGCAUAUCAUAAGCGGAGGA
rnacentral:misc_RNA from 1 species